rnacentral:rRNA from 1 species
GACGAACGCUGGCGGCGUGCCUAAUACAUGCAAGUCGAGCGAAGUUUUUCUGGUGCUUGCACCGGAAAAACUUAGCGGCGAACGGGUGAGUAACACGUAAAGAACCUGCCUUAUAGACUGGGACAACUAUUGGAAACGAUAGCUAAUACCGGAUAACAGCAUUAACUGCAUGGUUGAUGUUUGAAAGUUGGUUUUGCUAACACUAUGAGAUGGCUUUGCGGUGCAUUAGCUAGUUGGUGGGGUAAAGGCCUACCAAGGCGACGAUGCAUAGCCGACCUGAGAGGGUGAUCUGCCACACUGGGACUGAGACACGGCCCAGACUCCUACGGGAGGCAGCAGUAGGGAAUCUUCCGCAAUGGGCGAAAGCCUGACGGAGCAACGCCGCGUGAGUGAAGAAGGAUUUCGGUUCGUAAAGCUCUGUUGUUAGGGAAGAAUGAUUGUGUAGUAACUAUACACAGUAGAGACGGUACCUAACCAGAAAGCCACGGCUAACUACGUG